CCUACGGGAGGCAGCAGUGGGGAAUAUUGGGCAAUGGGCGCAAGCCUGACCCAGCGAAGCCGCGUGAGGGAAGACGGUCUUCGGAUUGUAAACCUCUUUCAGCAGGGAAGUCAAAAGGACGGUACCUGCAGAAGUAGCCACGGCUAACUACUGGCCAGCAGCCGCGGUAAUACGUAGGUGUCAGGCGUUAUCCGGAAUUACUGGGUGUAAAGGGUGUGUAGGGGGGUUUGCAAGUCAGAUGUGAAAAUUAUGGGCGCAAACCAUAACCUGCGUCUGACACUACAGAUCUUGAGAGUGGGGGAGGUAGACGGAAGUCGCGGUGUAGCGGUGAAAUGCGUAGAUAUCGGGAGGAACACCGAUGGCGAAGGCGGUUUACGGGACCACAACUGACGCUGAGACACGAAAGCGUGGGGAGCAAACAGGAUUAGAUACCCGAGUAGUC
rnacentral:rRNA from 1 species